GCAUAAAAGGUCGAGUUUGGGAAUACAACAACUGUUUUUAUUGAGCCAGUGUCGUCCAGUUACUGGGGGAAUGGGCUAUAUUCACUAAGCAGCACCAUGUCCAGCUCGAGAGAAUUUCGGUGGAGAUAUUCAGUCUCAGGAUUGCAGCUCCGCUACAAAUAUGUUUAGCACUAUUAUUAGAUAAGUUUCCAAUAACUAAACUAUAGACUCCAUAAUUUCCUCUAACUUAGAUAGCCAUUGCUGUUUAGAGUAAAUGCCCCAAAGUGGACUUCUUGUAUUUUCAUACCAGUAGGGAAGUGACAUGAAGCAGAACAUUUUCAAAUGUGAACUGUGGUGCCUCAAAAAUGUGAAUGUUGGUAUCUCUGACUAUCUGCCAAUAGGAUUUAAAAGUCCUACUAGAUGUUUUGCAUAGAACCCACUUUCACACCAACUAGGUGAAACAGGUGGGAAAAUCCUGCACAAACAUUCUGGAAUACAGUACCAAAGAGAGAGUACUUUGUAGCUAAU